AAAAUCUCUCAUUUGUUUCCCUGAAACUUAAAAGAAAAAAGGUGACCACUGUGAAAAAUACAAAAGGAACAAAGAAGAGAAUAGCAAAGGCCCGUACUCGCUGCAGCCCUGUUAAUCUUGUAGGCACCGGCCUUGCCAGCCGCCAGGAAAGCUCUUUCCAAACUGCUCUUGAAGUAGGAAAUGAGCAGAAAAAGCCACGUCUUCCCUGGGGGACGGUGACGUCAUACUAGCAGAAGCCAGCUGUGAGGACGGCCUGCUCUCUUUCUUUUCCUCCUUCACUCUGACAGGGCCCUGUCUGUAGGCGGGGAGGGACAAGCGGCCGGCACCUUGGAAAAUUCAGAUUUGCUGCUGUCAUAUUUGUGGGACUCUCAGACUGCCCCCAAAGCAGGCUCACAUUUAACUGUGCACGGACUGUGGUGGAGUCUUUAAAACAACCCAGGAUUAUCCUUGUCUCUGGUGGACAAAUGCGGAAACAGAGGGCAAGGAACUUCAUAUAAAUGGCACCCUGCAGUUUUAUCUUCUGUGACUGACAUUUAGCAUCAUGUCCCGAAGUCCCACCCAUCUUACGGAAUAUGGCUGAGAUGAUUUUGCGAUACAGCCUCGUCUGGCUUGGAAUUCACCGUGGAGCCCAGGCUGGCACUCGUGAACCUCUUACCCCGGCUUCCUGAGUGCUGGGAUUGCGGUGUGCGCCGCUCUGCCUGGUUGGAUUUCAUUCUAUUUGUGGCUGAAAACUUCCCAGUGUUUAUAUAUUGAUUGUCUUUACUGCUUUGUCUGCUGGUGAAAUUUACUUUUCUUUUACCCCCUGGCCAUUGUGGUUGUUGCUGCAAUAAACACAAUCAUGCAAAUAUC